rnacentral:misc_RNA from 1 species
UAUAAAUAAUAUAACUAUAAGAACAGAAUACAACAGAAUUUAGGGCUUCUGAAAAGGGGAAGAAAACCCUAAUCCUAAUUUAAUUGAAAAACAAAGCUCAAAUAUGCACGGAUCAUGUGGUGAAACGAGCACCUCCACUUUAAUUAGAAUUACGUUCCUGCUCUGGUUAAAAAUCUCCGACCGUGGCGAUCAAUUAAGCCACAAAGCUUCAAAAGGAACCUGAAAACGAUCAUCACUAUAAAAUUAUACACCUACACAUAAGAAAGACACAAACAGGGAAAGCGAGAGAGAGAGAGAGAGCACUUACUCGAGAGAAGGAGACACCAGGAGAGAAAUAGCGCGUCUGAGUCGAUGCUUGAUAAUGAUAAAAAGAGAGUGGAAGCGGAAAGUUUCGUUUAUUUUCGUUCCGU